UACGUAGGGGGCAAGCGUUGUCCGGAUUUAUUGGGCGUAAAGAGCGUGUAGGCGGCUUGGUAGGUCCGCUGUGAAAACUCGAGGCUCAACCUCGAGAUGUCGGCGGAAACCACUUGGCUAGAGUCCGGAAGAGGUGAGUGGAAUUCCCAGUGUAGCGGUGAAAUGCGUAGAUAUUGGGAGGAACACCAGUGGCGAAGGCGGCUCACUGGACCGGAACUGACGCUGAGGCGCGAAAGCGUGGGGAGCAAACAGG
rnacentral:rRNA from 1 species